CCAAAAUCUGAAUCGGAACGACACAUUGUUGAGACGCGAGGUAAACAUCCUUCCCAUUGGUCCGUCCUUCCCAUUGGUCCGUCCUUUGCCACCACCAAUUCUGACGUGUAGCGUUCCGCCAGUGGUUCCGGAUGUGGUUCCACAAGUCAUGUGUUGUUAGAGCCAGCUGUCGUGUUCUUGAAGUGGAGCAAACACCGCUGUUCAAGAGGUGACAUUCUGCCUUAUCAAGCGCUCAUGCGUUGCUAGUUAACUAUGUUUUUGUGGCAUUUACAGUGCUUAAAAUGCUGACACACUUGCCUCACAGCUAGCUAAAAUGGCUAGAUACUUCACAGAAGCUGUCAGUGCUAGCCAAAUGCAUUACGAGAGGUGACGUUAGCUAAAAGCGGAACUUCGGUCUACCGGUUCUUCACUGAAACUGGCACUCCGGUGUGACUCGUGGACCCAGUCCGAGUGGUUGCUGGCAGCCCCGUAUGUGCAGCGCAAGGAGAAAGAGAAUCGGACAGUUAAUGUUUGCCAAAUCAUCCAUGGAAAUCCGCUGCACAGCCCUGAUCCUCGACGCUUUGAUCUCCUUCACUCAAGGAAGUCUGGCGCGUUGAAGGAGCGCUUCAUCAAGGCGUAUGGCACAGGGCUUUAAUCUACAGAGGGCAGAGUUUCACCUCUCACCUGAGCCAAUCACAGAGGACAAGGUAUGUCGUCGGACCACAAUGCACCUGGAGGAAAAUGAGGUGUGGACCUUCGAGGUGAGCAGGGUCCAGUGGUUAUGCAGGGAAGGAGAUGAGAGCAGGAAGAGUAAAGAAAGUUCAAGAGUAUCCAACCAUCUCCUGCUCUUUUCUGUGAAUCCAACCAUCUCCUGCUCUUUUCUGUGAAUCCAUCCAUCUCCUGCUCUUUUCUGUGAAUCCAACCAUCUCCUGCUCUUUUAUGUGAAU
ensembl:lncRNA